GUACUUUGUGUUGCUACGAGACGCUGAUUUUUAUUUUUUGUUAGGUAGUAGCUUCUUUCCUUGAAUAAUUUGGAGUUUCGCCUUGCUAAUGUUUUUAUAAUGCCAGAACAAUUAUUAGGCGCCGAUAUAGGCACCAUUUGGUUCAGAGCAAGCAACUGGAUAUCAGCUUUGUGGCUUUUUAUUUUACUGUAACGUUAGCUAGGAAGGUUAAUUAAUUCAUUGUGACAAGCAGCAUGGCGUCCAGAGGCGGUUCAACUGUCAAGAGAUAUUGAGGAGGACGCUUCUCAGUUACUUUCCCCCAAAGAGUUCGAGAACGCGGAGACACUUCUAAACUCCGAGGUGCAGAUGCUUCUGGAGCAUCGCAAGCAGCAGAACGAGAGUGCAGAGGACGAACACGAGCUAUCGGAGGUCUUCAUGAAAAGUCUGAAUUAUACUGCACGUUUCAGCCGAUUCAAAAACAGAGAAACUAUAGCCAGUGUCCGCAGCUUGCUCUGGCCCCCAAUGGUGGAACAAACUCCCUCACGGCGCCAGGACAGCGGAGUCAAUCACCACCUUCCGGAGACACCUGAAACCCCACCUCUUUAAGGAAUACCUAGGAUAGGAUAAAGUAAUCCUUCUCACCCCCCACCCCCCCUUAAAAGACCUAGAUGCACUAUUGUAAAGUGGCUGUUCCACUGGAUGUCAUAAGGUGAAAGCACCAAUUUGUAAGUCGCUCUGGAUAAGAGCGUCUGCUAAAUGACUUAAAUGUAAAUGUAAGAAGCUGCAUAAAUUUGAGCUGGCCAGUUUGGCCAACAUGUGUCCAGAAGUAGCUAGGUAGCUCCUCAUCCCUAGGUAGGACCUGUUGUUACUGCCUCCUCACAUAUCACCAUACUCAGUCCUCUAACCCAGACUCUAAACCUUGUAUCUAUUUGGGUAGCAGUCGGCUCUUGACCAUGAAAUCUGGCGUAAAUGUUUAUUAUAUAUACAUUUAGUGACAGUAGUUGUCUGUUUGUUCUGUCUAAAGUCUGGAGGGGCAGUUUGAGGAUGAGGAGCUGCAGCAGAUCCUUGAUGACAUCCAGACCAAGAGAAGUUCCCAAUACUUUAGACAGUUCCUCCUCUGGCCUGUUCAUUGCAGAGAUGAUACAGCUCCAUUUAGAAGACCAUACCAAGCUAGGAUGAAUACAUACAUUACUAAAUGUAAAUAAUUUAUAAAUAAACAUCAGAUUUUUAAAUA